CGUGUUAAGUGGAAAAGGAUGUGGGAUUUCGAAGACAACUAGGAUGUUGGCUCAGAAGCAGCCAUACAUUCAAAGAGUGCGUAAUAGCUCACUAGUCGAGAGGUCCUGCGCCGAAAAUGUCCGGGGCUGAAACACGACACCGAAGCUUAGGAAUCGAAAGAUUGGUAGAGGAGCAUUGAAUACGGAACGAAGCAGUACCGGAAGGAGCUGUGGACUGUAUUGAAGAGAGAAUGCCGGAAUGAGUAGCGAGAUUUAAGUGAGAAUCUUAAAGGCCGAAUAUCUAAGGUUUCCAGGGUAAAGCUGAUCUUCCCUGGGUAAGUCGGGGCCUAAGGCGAGGACGAAAGUCGUAGUCGAUGGAUAACAGGUUGAAAUUCCUGUACCGCAUAUAUUCAGAAAUGUGGGGACACAGAUGGAGAGUACAGCCCGGGAAUGGAUAGACCGGGGCAAGCGAGGUAGGAGAAUGGCAGGCAAAUCCACCAUUCAAUCUGAAGACGUGACGCGUACCGAACAAGAGUAGGGAAGUGUAUGAGCCAGCUGUCGAGAAAAGCCGCUAUUGUGAUAUAUGUGCCCGUACCGUAAACCGACACAGGUGGAUGAGGAGAGAAUCCUAAGGCCGGCGGGAGAAGUGUUGUUAAGGAACUCGGCAAAAUGACCCCGUAACUUCGGGAGAAGGGGUGCCUCGGAAGAGGCCGCAGAGAAAUGGCCCAAGCAACUGUUUAGCAAAAACAUAGGUCUAUGCAAAACCGAAAGGUGAGGUAUAUGGGCUGACGCCUGCCCGGUGCUGGAAGGUUAAGAGGAGAGCUUAGCGCAAGCGAAGGUUUGAAUUUAAGCCCCAGUAAACGGCGGCCGUAACUAUAACGGUCCUAAGGUAGCGAAAUUCCUUGUCGGGUAAGUUCCGACCCGCACGAAAGGCGUAAUGAUUUGGGCACUGUCUCAACAACACACCCGGUGAAAUUGAAAUACCAGUGAAGAUGCUGGUUACCUGCGCCAGGACGGAAAGACCCCAUGGAGCUUUACUCCAGCUUGAUACUGGGAUUCGGUACUACCUGUACAGGAUAGGUGGGAGGCUUCGAUCACGGGACGCCAGUUUCGUGUGAGCCGCUGUUGGGAUACCACCCUUGUAGUACUGGAUUCCUAACCUACAGCCGUGAACCGGCUGGGGGACAAUGUCUGGCGGGGAGUUUGACUGGGGCGGUCGCCUCCGAAAGGGUAUCGGAGGCGCUCAAAGGUUCCCUCAGAAUGGUUGGAAACCAUUCGAAGAGUGCAAAGGCAGAAGGGAGCUUGACUGCGACACCGACGGGUGGAGCAGGUACGAAAGUAGGACUUAGUGAUCCGGUGGUAUAAAGUGGGAUUGCCAUCGCUCAACGGAUAAAAGCUACCCUGGGGAUAACAGGCUUAUCACUCCCAAGAGUUCACAUCGACGGAGUGGUUUGGCACCUCGAUGUCGGCUCAUCGCAUCCUGGGGCUGU
rnacentral:rRNA from 1 species